GAUGAACGCUGGCGGCGUGCCUAAUACAUGCAAGUCGAGCGAACAGACGAGGAGCUUGCUCCUCUGACGUUAGCGGCGGACGGGUGAGUAACACGUGGAUAACCUACCUAUAAGACUGGGAUCACUUCGGGACACCGGCGCUAAUACCGGAUAAUAUCUUGAACCGCAUGGUUCAAUAGUGAAAGACGGUUUUGCUGUCACUUAUAGAUGGAUCCGCGCCGCAUUAGCUAGUUGGUAAGGUAACGGCUUACCAAGGCAACGAUGCGUAGCCGACCUGAGAGGGUGAUCGGCCACACUGGAACUGAGACACGGUCCAGACUCCUACGGGAGGCAGCAGUAGGGAAUCUUCCGCAAUGGGCGAAAGCCUGACGGAGCAACGCCGCGUGAGUGAUGAAGGUCUUCGGAGCGUAAAACUCUGUUAUUAGGGAAGAACAAAUGUGUAAGUAACUAUGCACGUCUUGACGGUACCUAAUCAGAAAGCCACGGCUAACUACGUG
rnacentral:rRNA from 1 species